CCUACGGGCGGCACCAGUGGGGAAUAUUGCACAAUGGGCGCAAGCCUGAUGCAGCCAUGCCGCGUGUGUGAAGAAGGCCUACGGGUUGUAAAGCACUUUCAGCGGGGAGGAAGGCGCCAAGGUUAAUAACCUUGGCGAUUGACGUUACCCGCAGAAGAAGCACCGGCCAACUCCGUGCCAGCAGCCGCGGUAAUACGGAGGGUGCAAGCGUUAAUCGGAAUUACUGGGCGUAAAGCGCACGCAGGCGGUCUGUCAAGUCGGAUGUGAAGUCCCCGGGCUCAACCUGGGAACUGCAUUCGAAACUGGCAGGCUAGAGUCUUGUAGAGGGGGGUAGAAUUCCAGGUGUAGCGGUGAAAUGCGUAGAGAUCUGGAGGAAUACCGGUGGCGAAGGCGGCCCCCUGGACAAAGACUGACGCACAGGUGCGAAAGCGUGGGGAGCAAACAGGAUUAGAUACCCGCGUAGUC
rnacentral:rRNA from 1 species